rnacentral:rRNA from 1 species
CACGCAUGACACACUGCAUAUCAAUAAGCGGAGGAAAAGAAACUAACAAGGAUUCCCUUAGUAACGGCGAGUGAAGCGGGAAGAGCUCAAAUUUGAAAUCUUCAAGGUUUUACCUUGACGAAUUGUAGUUUAAAGAAGUGUUUUCUGUUGGAGUUUUGGUAAAAGUUCUUUGGAAUAGGACAUCAUAGAGGGUGAGAAUCCCGUAUUUGACCAUUAUUUCCAGCUGUGUGAUACACUUUCAAAGAGUCGGAUUGUUUGGGAAUGCAGUCCAAAAUGGGUGGUAAAUUUCAUCUAAAGCUAAAUAUUGGCGAGAGACCGAUAGCGAACAAGUACCGUGAGGGAAAGAUGAAAAGAACUUUGAAAAGAGAGUUAAACAGUACGUGAAAUUGUCAAAAGGGAAGCGUUUGACACCAGUGUUGUUUUCUCGAAAAUCAAUUAAAAAUGCUGGGAUUUUGUGUUGUAUUGACUUUAUCAGCUUUCUGCACUUUUUUCCUGUCCUUUUUUAAUGCACUUUUCGUUUAACAAGUCAACAUCAAUUUCUUUUGCUGUAAAAGAGUCAUUGGAAGGUGGCUUUUCUUUCGGAGAAAAGUGUUUAUAGCCUUCGGCUUCUGCAAUCGGAGAGAUUGAGGUCUGCAGCGUAGAUCCUUCGGGGUUAGAUACAUUUGUGCUAAGCUAUAGUUCUUUAUAGACAACCUGUUGACUAUAAUCAAUCCUGUAACUUACUCGCUUAUGCUAUUUUACCUACGCUUAGGAUGUUGAGCGCAUGUCUCUCUCU